CGCUCAGUGGCUCUGACGCGGCCAAUCAAAGGCCGGAAUGUGCGCAGUCUCCCAACCUAAUGCGUUACACGGCUUUGCUUAGGUCGAAGUUCGUACUGAGUGCUGUACUUCUGUUAGUGAGGUUUGGGAGGUGCUGCAGAUUUUCUACUGACGUCAUUUUUGGAUGGAAGACAUGGUACUUCUGUUGGACAAAUGUUGGAGAAGAUAAGGCGCUGGAAAUAACACUGAACAAAGGGUCAAUGAGAAACAUGACCUCUCCUUCUCACACUGUAGAUACUGUCUAACCUGAGGGAAGCCAACAGUACAGUCAGGGGAAAAAAAUACAACAGAACAGUGGCAGCCAAUUUGCACACAAAUCCCAUCAGCAACGCCGACAGGAUUACCGAUGGUGAUAGUGCCUGGGGUUGAGCUCCAUCAUCACUGGAACUUUGAACGCAGAAAGAGAUUCCGCAGAUGCACAAGAGAAUGCAGAUGCUGGAAUCUGGAGCAAGAAACAAAAUGCUGAAGGAACUUGAAGGGUCUGCCAUUAUCUGUGGAGGGAAAUGGAUAAUUGACAUUUCAUGUUGAGGCUCAUCAUCUGAACCGAAAGAGUAGAGGGACGACAACAGGUAUAAAGAGUGACGAGAAUGAACGGCUUGGACCCAAACACUGGAGUAUCUGCGGCAAGGAUCGAGACAUGAUUUCAAACUGGAUCGAGUAUCUGAGCGCAGAACAGCCGACUCCUGAUGGUCCUGGCUGCCCAGAGAGAUGAUGAUUGUAGUCAUGGAUGAGAGCCAGAUCCAAGAUGUCUCCUUCAGGUACCCAGCACCUCUCCUCCCAUCCGAAUCCUUCCCAGUCCAUGAGAUAUUGCCAAACACCUCAAACAGUAUGCAAGUCAAAAAUUCUUCUCAUGGUGAAAACCUGUAUCCUAUGGAAAGUGGGAUUGAUCUUGAGGGAACUGCAAAAUGUAGACCACCAGGUUUACUUUUCUAAGAAUCCUGGAAGGUCCAAUGAACUUGGGCACUAAUUUCCUGGACUCCACUCGCAGAGGCAGACCCGUUGCUCAGGCUGCAAAAUUAACCUUUACUUCAGCCUUCGGAGUAGAAGCUAACAAAAUCUCGCUUGCCCUAGUCCAUCUAUUCUUGCAGGGUUGGAUGAGAUCUAGAGCCUCAGGAACCUCAACCUCUGCCUCCUGCUCAGGGAAGAGAACACCCAGACUGGCAUUCGAAAGGCGGCAUCCCGUGCUCCACAUGCCAUAAAGUGUUGUGGACAAUCUCUGCCCACAUCAAAUGGUCACACCACUAGUUUGGUCUUUCAGAGGCCAGGUACAUUCCACUGCUCUGUCUGGCUUGGUACUGUGAGUGAAACCCAGAGGAAAGACUUGCUGUUGCCCCAAUCAGCUUGCAACAUGCCCUCCAGAAACAUGAUGUGAAUUAUGGACCACAAUCCGACUCAGUGUCCAACGGAAAACCAAGGAUUCUGAAGACCUGCUGCAGGACAAUCUUGGCCAUCUCCGCUGCAGAUCCAUGUAUGUUCAGGGUGAUGAAUUCAUAAGCCUUCGAAAAGCAAUCAACAAUUAUCAUUAUGGUCUUUCCCUUGGAAGGACGAAGACCUGUGACAAAGUCCAUGGAGAUGUGAGCGUAUGGUCUUUCCAGAAUAGGCAGAGGGUGAAGAAACCUCUGAGGUUGGAUGCGGGCCUCCUUGUUCUGAGUGCACACCUCAUGCCAGCACGUAUUGAUGGAUCUCUCUUAUCAUUCUGGGCUACCAAUGACUUCUCAAUGAAUUUCAGGGUCCUGACAAUCUCUGGGUGAGACGUCAAUCUCAAUGCAUGUCCUCAUUGAAGAACCUGAGAGUGGAAAGGACUAGGAACGAACAGCCGACCCGGAGGACCAUUCUGAGGAAUAUCUCCUUGCGCCUAGGUCUUGUGAACAAGUGUGUCAAUCCCCUGAUGAAUUUACGCUAUCACCUUGGCCUGGGGCGAAAUGGUGGUAGGCUGCUUUCCCCGUUUGAGUUCAUCAAACUGACAGGACAAGGCAUCUGGCUUCUUGUUCUUAGAUCUUGGUCGAUAGGUCAGGAUGAAAUUAAAACAGUUGAAGAAAAGGGACCACCUGGCUUGCCUGGAAUUCGGUCUCUUGGCCUCCUGAAUGUAAGUGAGGUUCUUGUGGUCCGUCCAUAUGAUAAAAGAGUUCUUGGUCCCUUCAAGCCAGUGACGCCAUUCCUGUCCUUCCGUACAAAGAAGCAGCCAGAGGUGGAGGGGCAAAUGAAUUCCAGGGCAAGAGCCUCCUUAACAUACUCCACCACAGUGUUUCUCUCCGGGUCUGAGAGUGUGGAAGAUCAACCCCGCGGAAGACACGUACCUAUUGCACAGUCAUAGGGUCAGUGUGGUGGAAGACUCGAGGCCUUUCCCUAGAUGAAGACCUCUUCCAAAUCCUUAUAAAUGGAAGGGAUUUCUACCAGCUAGGUGCUGCACUUAUCCCCGAACCUUAUUCUGAGGAUGACUCCUGAGACUCUGUUGGCAGCGGGGGGUUAUUCAGCAGACUCCAGUCUCCCCCAUAGGACCACAAGAAUCUUUAGUGAAAAAAGUCUAAUCCUCGUCCGUCUCCUCAGAAAUCAACAGCAAGAUGUGACAAAUGGUUUCUUGUUCUCCUGGGACUAGGCUCCAAGGUGUCCGCUUUGGAGCCUUCCCCCGAGAUGGAACCUGGCAACUGGAGCCUUUAGCUUAGCUGCUAGUUGCAUACAGCUUGGGCACCUCCUUGGUUUGUUCCUGAACUAGAGAUCUGGUUCCAGCGCACCCCUGACCGGACAGGGUCAGGACUCACACAGGCCUAUUGGCAGGAGCCAGCUUGUCUUCCCUUGCCGGUAGGACCGGGUUUCCUGAAGGCUCCAGGUUACCCCGAGCAGAAGUCUAUUUCCUUGUUGACUCCUGGUCUCAGGAAAGUCUGAGGGUUGGAACGCCAAGCUGAAAACAAACCCUCUUACAAUGGCUGGACCAGGCAGAAAUCCUCCCCUCCCUCCAGUCCACGGAUGUGUUAUGCCAAGACAGCAAGGGUACCUGAGGAUCAGGGGGUAUGGGUGCAGAGUCAAUAAUGUAGAAACUAAUGUCGUCCACAUGAUCCCCCAUCAUCAUCUGCAAAACCACAGCCUGUUGUCAGAUCUGCCCAGACCCUAGCGGGCGGCUGUCUGAGACAAUCGCGGGCAAGGACUGUUUCAACUCUCGUAGAGGUAUGUCGAACCAACGGGCUGUUCCCCUAUCCAGAAAAUUACCAGCUGCCCCAGAGUCCACAGAAGCCUUCACUCACCUCAAGUCCUUACCCCAUGUAAACUCCACAAGACCAGAAUCCAUGCAGGUGACUGUAGUGUCUGCUGCUGCCACAGUCGUCCUGACAUUGGUCAGUCAUAGCAGUUCCCCAGGUGGAUGUAGCCCACAGGUGCCCUGCUUCCCCCAGUGAAAGCAGCAACCUUGGUACCGGCAUUGGUGGAGAGUCUAGAGCAACAGAUCUGCAUGGAUUCAACUGGAUUUUGAGCAGGUUUUGGGCUGGCCAUGGUCCAAGACUGGGGUGUGGAACAACAAUACGUUGAGUUCAGGCUUGUGCAAGCCCUCCUUGACCUCAUGUUCUGCCAGGCGAUUAUCAAGAUGGAUGGACCAGUUGGUGAGAACCUCUAAGUUCUCUGCUAGCUCUCCAAAGGUGAGGCCAUCCUUCAGUUUUUCUCGAAGUCCAUGGAGAUAUAGCAUGGCCAAGACCUCCCCCUUCCAACCAGUCUCCUGGGCCAAGGUCCGAAAUUCGAUUGUGUAAUCAGCUGAGGUCCAUCCCCCCCCCCCCCCAUCAAAAUUUCACUAGGCAGUCUGAGGCUCAGCUUGCUCCGGCAGGGUGAUGAAACAUCUCCCUCGUGGCGGCCGUGAAGUCCUCCGAGUCUGAGUGAAUUCCCUAUGUGUGGUGGCCCAAUCCAGGGCUCUCCCAGUCAGAAGAGAGAUAAUGAAGGCCACCUUUCCGCACUCCAAAGGGAACUGGGAUAGCUGGAGUGCAAACACUCAUGAGCUUUGGAUGAGGAAGCUGCUGCAAGAACCCAGGUCGUUCCAGGAUUGGAAGGUGUACUGGCUCUCCCAAGUGACUCUGGCCUCCUCCUUGCUCCAAGUUGACCCAUGGCUACCUGGAGGUUGUCUAACUCCAAGCUCUGUUGGGAAAUAUUUUCACUGUGGCUGGUCACAGCCGACGAAGGACUCCAUACUGACUCAGUCAUACUGUGACAAGAGUCCUCGACAAGAAUGACUUGGAUCUAAAUGCUGAAGUAUCCAUGGCAAGGAUCGAAAUAUGGUUUCAAAUGGAUCGAGAAUCUGAGCACAAAACAAACACUGGAUGAAAUCACGAGUAGGCUUAUGAUUGAGCACUGGACUGCAGUUCAUUCUGGUGCUUCUUAAAUGCUCAAUCCUCGGUUCCCAAAACAUGAUUGCCAAUUAGCGGGACUGCCCUGAAUCUUUAAAGGGGCUAUGCCAGCUAUCCGUACUCUGGAGAGUUAGAGCACCUAGGCCUCGGAAGCUGGCGCGGGUGGGUGGAUGUCCUAACAGUUGGUCUCUAUUUUAUUUCUUUAAAUUGGGUUCUUUUGGGCUUCUUGCUUUGUAGCUGCCUCAACGUUGUAUCAUUUAUACAUUCGUUGCUAAUAAAUGUACUUUUGAA